rnacentral:rRNA from 1 species
UACGACUACAUAUCAGGCAUAUCAAUAAGCGGAGGAAAAGAAACUAACUAGGAUUCCCUUAGUAACGGCGAGUGAAGCGGGAAGAGCUCAAAUUUGAAAUCUUCAAGGUUCUACCUUGACGAAUUGUAGUUUAAAGAAGUGUUUUCUGUUGGUAGUUUUGGUAAAAGUUCUUUGGAAUAGGACAUCAUAGAGGGUGAGAAUCCCGUAUUUGACCAUUUACUUCCAGCUGUGUGAUACACUUUCAAAGAGUCGGAUUGUUUGGGAAUGCAGUCCAAAAUGGGUGGUAAAUUUCAUCUAAAGCUAAAUAUUGGCGAGAGACCGAUAGCGAACAAGUACCGUGAGGGAAAGAUGAAAAGAACUUUGAUAAGAGAGUUAAACAGUACGUGAAAUUGUCAAAAGGGAAGCGUUUGACACCAGUGUUGUUUUCUCGAAAAUCAAUUAAAAAUGACCGGAUUUUGUGUUGUAUUGACUUUAUCAGCUUUCUGCACUUUUUUCUUGUCUUUUUUAAUGCACUUUUCGCUUAACAAGUCAACAUCAAUUUCUUUUGUUGUAAAAGGGUCAUUGGAAGGUGGCUUUCACUUCGGUGAAAGUGUUUAUAGCCUUUGACUUCUGCAAUCGGAGAGAUUGAGGUCUGCAGCGUAGAUCCUUCGGGGUUAGAUACAUUUGUGCUAAGUUAUAGUUUUUCAUAGACAACAUGUUGACUAUGAUUAAUCAUGUAGCUUACUCGCUUAUGCUAUUUUACCUACGCUUAGGAUGUUGAUCUCUCACAGUCGAGC